GGGCACUGGGGUGGGAUAUGGGGACAUCGGGGCCCUUUGGGUCUGUUUGCGGGAAUUUAGGGUCGCUGGGGAUAGGAUUUGGGGCCGAUUGGGGCCAUUUUGAGCCCAGUUAGGGCCAUUCGGGGCCACUUAGGGCCACCUAGGGCAGGAUUUGGGUCUAUUUAGAGCUAUUUGGGGCCUUUUGGGGUUCCUAAUAACAAAAUGUUAAGGCGUUUGGGGUUUUUCAGGGUCGCUAACAACAGCAUUUAGGGCUACGUGAACCUAUUUAGGUCCACUUAGGACCCCUAAAAAUAGGGAUUUCCGCUCAUUUAAGACAUUUAGGAUAGGAUUUGAGACUUUUUACGGCUAUUUACAGCUUUUCAGAUUCCUAAAUAAACAAUUUGGGGCCAUUUGGGGCCAUUUGGAGGCUAUUUAGGGCUAUUUACGGUGGGGAGACGACCCCGGGGUACUUUUGGGGUGCUGGGGGGUAUCUAUGGGGCACCGUGGGGUGUCUAUGGGGCUCCGUGGGGCACUAUAGGUUAUCUAUAGGGCAUUAUGGGGUGCCUAUGGGUCGCUGUGGGGCACUGUGGGGUGUCUAUACGGCCCUAUGGGUCGCUGUGGGGCACCGUGGGGCCCUAUAGGUUAUCUAUAGGGCAUUAUAGGGUGUCCAUGGGUCGUUGUGGGGCGCCGUGGGGUACCUGUGGGGCACUGUGGGGUGUCUAUGGGGCGCUGUGGGGCUCCGUGGGGCCCUAUAGGUUAUCUAUAGGGCAUUAUAGGGUGUCUAUGGGUUG
rnacentral:lncRNA from 1 species